CCCUCUGGCGAAGAAAACCAGACCCUCCACGGCGAGGGACCGGCCAGUGAAUGAUCAGAAUAUUAUCAUCAGUGGAUUCUGAAGCGCGGGCGCUUAUCAGAGAGACAAAGGACGUCGGAGAAUCAAUAUGAUCAUCAACAGAGGCGGAAGAAAGUCUAGACUUGAUUCUCAUGGCAGAAGUACUAAACUAUUCCGGCUGGAAGAAAACUAGAGGAAGAGAACGACCAGACGGAAAUCGCAGCAUUGUAGUAGGAAAGAAGAAACUUAGUUUAUGAAGCCAACUCCGGCAAUUUAUAAAGAGAGAGGCAUUGUUUCCCAAGACAAAAAGCAAUAGAAACGUCAUCAUUCAAAAGACGCGACCCUUCACUGAUGCCCUUUCACGAUACACGAGAAAAUAAAUUACCCAACCAAAAUACGCCACAUAAGGACAACCCCAGCGUCUAGGCCAAGUCAACUCUCCUCUACGACGUUUCUCUGAGAUCCCUCGAACUCAAAAUUUUGACGGAUUCAGGGGACUAUUGUUGGAUAUGGGCACAGAUUAGCAUCAAGGCCCUAUAGUUGACUCGACCCAGUAGAAUAACCACCUCAUGAAAAGGUAAGACGACCCAGCAAGAGCCCAACGCAUCCGUCAGGAUGACCUGACACACGUAACCGAGUGCCAAGAAAGAGAGAGAGAGGCGUUGCAUCCUACUAUGGCGCCGGACAUAGCUCUCAACAACUCUGUCGAACACUGUUCUUAAAUCAGACACGUAAUGAUGAAAGAAGAUGAAGUCGACACGGAGAAAAGUCUAUAAAAAGGGAGCGAGAGAAAGGCAGGAGAACAAGAGAAAAGGCGAAGAGAAUACGGAGAUAAAGAUUAACAUUGGCGACGAGUUAGUCAUUCUGACGACGAGUUCAUUUUUUUUGCAUUUUCUCCUUUCGGCAUUUAGCUCAAACACUUCAAUAAACGAAACUUGUGGAUCCCUAAAUCACUAUUUAUUGUUUGAUUAAGGAUCCAUAAACUCGAUUACCGUUUUUAGGAUUCAACACAGAGCAUAUCCUCACCAAAUCUACUAAACCCCUUCAAAAUCAGCUUCUUCUUAAUCUUCAACGGUAAGUUCCAAACAGACGUUUAUAAGAAGCUUAUUCUCGUCAUCAAAACCUGUUGGAAGUCUGUCUUCUUCCUUGAUAAAAUGAAUAGACUGACUUUUUCGAUUUUUACAGUAGUUUUACCAACCAAACCGUUCGUCGUAGCCGGAUUAAUAGCUAGUUGGAAAACAUGUAAUGAACAUUAUAAUUUAGUAUAUACAAACAAAAAAAUCAAACUAAAUAGAAAAUGAAGCUAUGAAAAAGGCAAGUUGAAAUGAUCAAAAGACAAAAACACAGUCAGCUUUUGUCUCAGCAAAUAUGUGUCGUAUCAUUGAUCAAACAAAGUCUUCAAGGAGAAAGAAGAGACGGCUCCGCGCGCGACGAGCCAAACAGCACUGGGUCAGGGAGACUGUGGCGUAGGGCUACUACUUUUAGGCCAAAUUUCUUUUUUUUUUGUGCUCAUUUUCUUUGAAAGAUCAAUAUGUAUUUUCUUUUAAAUAAUAUGUAGUUCGUGAUACAAAAACACAUAUUCUUUCUACAUGACCAAAUUUUUUAAGAGAAAAGUUCUUGCGGGGGAAGUUUCGUACCUCACCUACAAGAUUUUUGUAAUAUCUCCGCUAACAUGCACACGUGAUGCGGAUGUUACUGAUGUUAUUGAUAUGAACUAAAGCAAAGACUGGAGAAAUUGUGGUGCUUCAAGUAAUGAAACGAAGUGCAGUAAGCAUGUUUCUCUAAGAAAAGUAUGUAUGUAAGAUGUAAUUUAUAUAUAAGAGUUGUGUAUUGCAUCUACGUUUAUAAUAAUAGAUAACCGGUUUAUUGUUAAUGAAAUCGAUAGUAAGAAUAAUGGUUUGUUUAAAUUACCCGAUGUGGUGGUACGAUUUAAAUAUGACAUCAUCAGUUUAUUUAUUAAUCAGCGUAUAACUAAUGUCACAUGUAACUCUCUAGUAAUGGGUCUGAAAAUUAAAAACGACUUGAAAACGGUAGAUAUAUUUUUGGACUUCAUUUUAAUAGAGUAGAUGAUUUAUUAUUUUCAUUUUAGGUACUAAUAAUCAAUACUAUUAAAAGGGAAGGAGUUCUAAAAAAUCUACCUAUGAAAUGUUGUUGCACCCUUUUAUUUUUUAGCCCAACAAAUUACAUAUUCUAAAUAUUAUAACUAAUCCAUAUUAUAUCAACAAGAAAAUAUCUUCUAACAAUUAAAUAAAACCUAUAAUUAAAUAAAACCUAUUUUGUUCCAAGCCCCAUUACAUAUUUUUCUUUGUUACGUAGCAUCUCAUAAUUAACUAACCCCUAUUAUAUUUUAUAAUCGAAACCAUCACAUAUUAUAUAUGUACAUACAUUUAGUCUAAACCACUAAAUAUACUACUUUCACACCACCAUUAGAUACAAACACUAUAUACAAACAUUAUAUAUAUGUGUAUAUGAUUAGUUUAAACCACUAAAUAUACCACUUUCACAUCUUCUUGUGAAGCAAAACAACUUCUCCAUUUCUAUAUAUAUCAUCACCUACAUGAACAUAUUCCCCAAGUAUCGUCAUGUUCACACCACCAUGCGGGUAAGCUAGACAUUGUUUAAACCACCACUCACCAAUCUGAGAAAUCAAAGAUCAUAACAAGAUUUUAAUGAUCCAUAUAAUCAUUGACAUCUAUUAUUUAAAUGGGUCAUCACAUUCAUCACAACAUUAUAGCAAACUUACAUAUAGCAUUUUCAUCACAACAUUUUAAGGAAUUAAUAUACAUGUAUUAAUUAACCCUAAACCCAAAACUUAAAAAUAUAUAAUACCGAACAUAUAUCCAAAAUACAUAAAUAUACCAAAUAUACCAAAAACACAUUUUGGAUACCUUGGGUACCUAAUCUGGUCUCGAGUAGGAUUCAUAUAUACUCAAACCGAGACAUGCGGGUCCAAAAAAAAUACCUAAUUAGUACUUUGUCCUUAACCCAAAUCUGAACCAAACUUUUAUUUUCGAGCCGGUUUUGGUUCAGUUUUCUGAUCCAGGUAAAAUGCUUAUGCCUAAUAGAGAAUUACAUAAGAUUGUACAUACAAAAUUCUAAAUAAACUAAUUAUAUAAUUAUAUAAUUUAAAUUUUUUUCUUCUUUGAUAUAAUACGAUUUUGUAGUAUAAUAAUGUAUAACAAUUUCAAAAUAUUAGUAUAAUAAUGUAUAACACUUCAAAAUAUUAAUUUAUAUCAAAAUUUUGUUUAUAAAAAAAAAACCCCGCGUUUUCAAAGCGCGGGUCAAAAUCUAGUAAUAUGAUUAUAACUAAUCAUUUUAGUUAUUUUAAUGUUUUGUAUUUUUUUGAAUACUUAUUCGGUUUUGGUUCAGGUCAAAAUUGGUAUUGGUUCUUUGGAUAUAACAAUUUAUGGUUCGAGUAUUUAUGCAUGUGUCCAAUCAGAUUCAAUACUUUGAUUUUUGAAUCGAUUUUAAGUCGGUUCUUUGGUUUGGUAUCUUGUCCAACCCUAAUUUUACCCUUAAUAUGAUAUUGGUUCUAAUAAAUAAGUCGAAAUGUCAUAUUACUUAAAGUGUAUAGUUUCUGAAGAUAGAGACAAAUCAAUAAGCAAUAUGAACUAACUAUUUAUUUUAUUUUGUUUAACAAAAAACUUAGUAAACAUUAAUCAAAUUUAGGCGAAAUUACAACUCAGAUGCACCUUAUUUCAAAGUUUUGUAUAUGUUAAUCUACCGUAAAGAGUUUAAGGCUUGAGUAAUCCAGAAACCAAUCAUUAUUAUGUCUUUACAAUUACGGUUACUUGUCUAAAUGAAAGAGAAGUAAACAAAGUGAAAAAAGGUAAAAAAAGUGUAUCAAGCAUUGUAACACAAACGCCACGAAAGCUCAGGAAGAAGCUCAUUUCUUUGGCUUCACUGCAGAGUAUAUAUAAAAAGGUGAGAAGAAAAAGAUCAAAGAAGAUGGUGAAAAUCAGGAUUACAUACACCCACUGAAGUGGAUAACAGGCUCUAUCUGUGUAUAGUGGUCGGAGGUAAUGAUGGUGGAACAUAGGAAGAGGAGAAGAUGACGACGCUAGAGAUGACCUAGAUGCUGGAUAGAUUUUAAUAUUAAUCCAAUGAUUAAGAUUUGUUUAAUGUAAAUAUAUCGGUCAUCAAAUAAAUAUAUAUAACAGAUGCUACAUUUUAAAUAGGACUCUAUUUUAAUAGAUUACAUAUACAUUGACAAAAAAAAAAGAACUUAUUAGAUCUACUUAAAUCUCAUCAUCUUAGCAUGUGACUGUUAGAAAAAUGACAAUCAUGUCACUAUAUAAUUAUUGAAUUGAUUUUAUCAACUUUAGAUUUAUUUGUAUAUAUAUGGCCAAUAAUUUAUUAGAUCGUGAGUGCUAACAACACGUGCUGUGAUUUUCCACCACAAGAGGAAGUGUCAGAGACAGACCGAUAAAGAUCUUUUCCCAAUGGUGUAACGACUUUUCCUUGAAACCAAGGUUUAUUAACUUCGGUCCCCACAAUUAUAUAAGGAAUUGGUGUAGAAUCCUACUUUGGAUAGACAACGACAUAAUAACAUUAACAUUAUUCAAUUUUUGUUUGACGGAAAAAAACAUAAUAUAUGUUUCUAUAGAAUCCAUCUGGAUGCCACUAAGUUGUAAGUUAGGUUUCAGGAAAUCGAAAAUAGAUAUACGGAAAGAAAACAUUUCCAAAUGUAAAAACGUGAUAUUUAUUUUUUUUAAGAAAAACAAACAGAAACAUUUUAGAAACAUCUAUAUAUACACAUACACACACAAUUGAUUUAUAUAUGAAUUAUUAUUAUUAUUUUCUAUAUAGUUUAUCUAAGAGAGAAGCCCAUUAAUAAAAAGUAUUGUUUCUCUUUGUAAUUUAUAUACUUUUUAUCAAAGAGUAAAAAAUACCGACAAUGUUAUCAUUCCAUAAAACUUAUCAAAAUAAAAAAUAUUUUUCUAUAUUUAUUAAUUAUUGAGAAAUUAGGGGGCAUGACCAUAAAAAACAAGAAAUUAAGUGUAUAACCAUUAGAAUCGACAUGGCUAUUAUAUAUUAUAUAAUGUUUUGUAAUUAUCCGAAAAUAUCCUUAUUUACGCGUGGAAAGGAAAGUAGAUAGUUUUCUUUUUCUGUUUAACUAGGAAAUUAAAAAUGCAGUUUUUCUGUUAAAACACAAGCAUGCGAGAUAGAAAACAGAAUUUUGAAAUUGCAAUAGAGUGUGUAAGAAGUGGUCGCGAAUCGCAAAACAGUGUUUCCGAGCUUUGUGAGGCGGCAAUCAAAAAGUUAGGGUUGCAGAUAAGUUGACAAAUCAUUAGUUUCGGAUGAAUCCAGAUUUGCAAUUAAAUUGUAGCCGUUGUUCCGGUGUGAAGGGAGUAACUGAGGAAGAGGAAAAAUGUAAAAUUGGGGAACUACAUGCAUGAGUUGAAUAUUUUAGCAUGAAAACGGGAACUAACCAAGUGUAAAACUAUCUAUUGAAACAUCUGAUGGAGAACAUAUGGUUGUGGGAUUGGGUUGUGGGGGACACAAUGAAUAGUGAUUUGUAAGA